rnacentral:rRNA from 1 species
UACGGAGGAUGCAAGCGUUAUCCGGAAUGAUUGGGCGUAAAGCGUCCGCAGGUGGCAAUGUAAGUCUGCUGUCAAAGCGUCUGGCUCAACCAGAUAAAGGCAGUGGAAACUACAUAGCUAGAGUAAGGUAGGGGUAGAGGGAAUUCCUGGUGUAGCGGUGAAAUGCGUAGAGAUCAGGAAGAACACCGGUGGCGAAAGCGGCUCUCUGGAACGCAACUGACGCUGAGACGCGAAAGCGUGGGGAGCAAACAGG